UACAGGGGGUGCAAACGUUGCUCGGAAUCAUUGGGCGGUAAAGCGCACGUAGGCGGUUCGUUAUGUCGGAUGUGAAAGCCCUUGGCUUAACCGAGGAAGUGCAUCCGAAACUGGCGAGCUAGAGUACGAAAGAGGAUCGCGGAAUUCCCGGUGUAGAGGUGAAAUUCGUAGAUAUCGGGAGGAACACCGGUGGCGAAGGCGGGCGAUCUGGGUCGAUACUGACGCUGAGGUGCGAAAGCGUGGGGAGCAAACAGG
rnacentral:rRNA from 1 species